UGCUUACAUCGAAACUGAACAAAAUAUAUAGUGAAAUAAUCAAAUGAUAACAAAGCUUUGCACGAUCCUCUGCACUUUUUAUGCUAAUCUGAAUAAUCUCACUUGAAUCUAAUAAAAAUGCAUCAUCUUGUCUAUAGCUUCUAACAGCCACUAGUAAAAACUGAUAAUCUUAUCUACAGCAAUCUGGAGCUCCUUUAUCUUCUCUUGUUGUGCAACAUCCUUCUUAUCAUGUUCUUGCGCCUUCCCUUCCAUCUCUUCUAACCACCCAUCCUGAAAUUGCACAGUUUUUUAAAUCAAAAAUUGCAUUGUGGUAUUGAUGUAAGCAUAUCUGUUUCCUACUGCUGCCUUGUGUAUGGAUCAUUCUGAACAUUAAAGAUGAUACCUGAGCUACUCAAAGCAGAUGACACUGCCAGAUUAUUCUUUUGAACUUUUCGAGUGAGAGUCGAAAGCUGAGUAUCUAGAGUUCCAUUCACCGCCUCUGU
rnacentral:lncRNA from 1 species